rnacentral:lncRNA from 1 species
GAAAAGAUUGAAAAGCUGUCAAAAUUCAAAACCACCAAGCAACUUCUAAACAGCAGGCUUUUCAUAAUGUUCUCUAUCACAUGAAACCCUCUAACCACACUGCAUACAGCACCCUCUCUCUCAAAAAUUCAUCUUUGGCCAUUUCCAAACUCUCAGUCCAAACACAAAAGCAAACUAGCCUGGCCCUGCAUUGACACAACAUCCAUUCCACCAUUUUCCUGUCAUUUUAGAAAACCAACUGCAGCCAACCUAACCAACAUAACACAACCACCU